GACGAACGCUGGCGGCGUGCUUAACACAUGCAAGUCGAACGAUGAACCCGGAGCUUGCUCCGGCGGAUUAGUGGCGAACGGGUGAGUAACACGUGAGUAACCUGCCCUUGACUCUGGGAUAACUGCGGGAAACUGUAGCUAAUACCGGAUACGACCCUCGGCGGCAUCGCCAGGGGGUGGAAAGAAUUUCGGUCAAGGAUGGACUCGCGGCCUAUCAGCUAGUUGGUGAGGUAACGGCUCACCAAGGCGACGACGGGUAGCCGGCCUGAGAGGGUGACCGGCCACACUGGGACUGAGACACGGCCCAGACUCCUACGGGAGGCAGCAGUGGGGAAUAUUGCACAAUGGGCGCAAGCCCGAUGCAGCAACGCCGCGUGAGGGAUGACGGCCUUCGGGUUGUAAACCUCUUUUAGUAGGGAAGAAGCGAAAGUGACGGUACCUGCAGAAAAAGCACCGGCUAACUACGUGCAAGCAGCCGCCGUAA
rnacentral:rRNA from 1 species